UACGUAGGGUGCGAGCGUUAAUCGGAAUUACUGGGCGUAAAGCGUGCGCAGGCGGUUUUGUAAGCCAGAUGUGAAAGCCCCGGGCUUAACCUGGGAACUGCAUCCGAUACUGGAUGGCUUGAAUUCGGGAGAGGGAUGCAGAAUUCCAGGUGUAGCGGUGAAAUGCGUAGAUAUCUGGAGGAAUACCGGUGGCGAAGGCGGCAUCCUGGACCGACAUUGACGCUGAGGAGCGAAAGCCAGGGGAGCAAACGGG
rnacentral:rRNA from 1 species